rnacentral:rRNA from 1 species
CUGGGUGACCAUAGCGAAGAGGUCACACCCGUUCCCAUCCCGAACACGGCAGUUAAGCUCUUCUACGGCUGAGGUAGUUGAUUCGCAAGGAUCUGCAAGAAAGGCUAGUCGCCCAGU